AUUUUCUUCUUUCUCUCUCUCUUUCACGAUGCUUUCCGUUACUUCGGCGAGGAUAUUCGACGAUUUGUGUUCAAUCAGAAGGAUUCGUCGUCAGCUCAAAUAUCGGUCUAUGAAGGAGAAGACUUACAAUAUGCCUCUGAACAAAAUCCAAUCUUACGUUGUUCAGCCUAGAGUGGAGCAAGCAACGGCUUGAUUGGAAGCAUAGGAGAAGAAGAAAGCAGAGUAUGCACAGAGGAUGAAGAAUAAGGCUGCAACGUUUCACAAGGAAGCAGAAGAGAGAAGACAUUGAUGACUCAAGACUUGGUGACUGAAGAAAACUUUGUAUAUGCUUUGAUCAAAUUUGUAAAGUUUAGUCAUAGAGGAAACCAAUUGUGAAGCAGUUUUAUGAUAAAGGAAACCUAUUGUAAACUUUGUGUAUGUCUUUAUUCCAAAUUCCGAUUGUGAAACAAGAUUAAAA
rnacentral:misc_RNA from 1 species